GAUCAUGGCUCAGAUUGAACGCUGGCGGCAUGCUUUACACAUGCAAGUCGAACGGCAGCGCGGGCUUCGGCCUGGCGGCGAGUGGCGAACGGGUGAGUAAUGCAUCGGAACGUGCCCAGUAGUGGGGGGAUAGCCCGGCGAAAGCCGGAUUAAUACCGCAUACGACCUGAGGGUGAAAGCGGGGGACCGAAAGGCCUCGCGCUAUUGGAGCGGCCGAUGUCGGAUUAGCUAGUUGGUGGGGUAAAGG
rnacentral:rRNA from 1 species